rnacentral:rRNA from 2 species
ACUCUCGACAACGGAUAUCCCGGCUCUCGCAUCGAUGAAGAACGUAGCGAAAUGCGAUACUUGGUGUGAAUUGCAGAAUCCCGUGAACCAUCGAGUCUUUGAACGCAAGUUGCGCCCGAAGCCACUAGGCUGAGGGCACGUCUGCCUGGGUGUCACGC